GACGGAGACCCUGCCGUCCGGGUCCUCCAAGGGCGCCUUCAGGACGGAGCCAUCCGGCAGCACCCACCAGAUGGACGGCCUCUCGGAAGCCUUGACGUUGCAGCUCAGCUGGCACGGGCUCCCUUCCAAGACCGUCUGGGCUCUCUGCACGGCCGUGCUAGGCUCGAUCAUGACCCAGCUCCGGCUCCGAGACGGCCUUGCGUCCUUGGCGGGCAUGGUGAGAGAAUACCGGGACGCAUAGGAGAGCACUACCGUCUUGGCCGUACUCUGUCGCCGGUUGAGCUGGAGGUCCACGGACGGCUGCAGGACCCACUCCGGUUCGGCAAGGAUGUGGGCUCGGACGCCCGUGUAAUACAGGGUGUCGUCAUCAGCAUCUUGCCUGUACUGGGAGCCGAGGCUGGGGUCUCGGUCGGGCGCGGGGUCGCGGUGCAGCUUCACGGGGACCUCGCUGUAAUAGGCGAUCAGCUUCCACAGUUUCUCAUAGUUUUCUCGCGUCAUGGGACACUCAAAGUCCAGGGCAAGAGUGGCGUUGAGCUCUAUCUCCUGCGGGUCUGUUUGGUUCAGAUGGAGCUGCUGCAGGUCCGUGGGCUUCUUGAUGGCGCAGACCAAGUGGGCCGUGUUCCCGUGCUCGUCGCUCAUGUUGAGGGAGACGUUCCAGCGGGGGACCUGGAGCGACUCCAGGGACACGUGGUCGUCACCGUCUUCCUCCUGCUCUGGCUCCUCCUCGCUGCCUCGGCUCCUGUUCUGCCUCAGAGGGGACGCUAUGAGCGGCUUCUGACAGAGGCAGAAGAAAGGGAUUCGACCCAGGCUGAUGGCUGUGAGGAUGGAGACGAUCAGAGAGACCCCAGGACGGCGCUGAGGACGGGGUCCGAGUGGGGCUUGGGGAUGGGGGUGAAAAAGAAAAAGAAACCUCCCUUAUGUUGAUUCAAACGCUACUUUCUUGCAACCUCUACAUCUCAGUCGUGGUCUGCUUGUUUGCUUGGUGGGUGGGCUGCUUCUCUGGAUCCAUACAGAACACCUGCCUCCCGCAUCUCAAGCGAAAUACCUCAUAGCCGCCCCAGACUGCUUUUCCCAGCAUCCUCGAAUAGGUCCCGUAGGAUGUGGAGGCACAGAAACCCUACUUUAGCUGUAACACCAGAUUGAAAAGAAGAUUCCAGACAUCCACCCUCCGCCACCGUACGGUCCACAACCGACUCAAUGACCGUUACUGUGUUUCAUAAAGAUGCACACCUUUGAUUUACACCAUGGAGGUGUCUUGACAGGUCAGGCAUCAUAGUUUUGUCUCACGGAUUUUGGAGACGUGAUUUCCCCCGACCCAGGACGAAGCCAGCUCGGCAAGGCUGGAGAAAGCAAUUUCUCUGGAACGGCACCCUGCCUCUCUGCGCCUCUUACCUUUGGAUUUCGCGUCCCAUUCCAGAAACCAUUUCAUCUCACAAUCACAGGACCAGGGAUUCCCCUGCAGGUAAAGGUUCUCCAGCAGAGGCAUAUUCUGCAGCAGGCUGGGGGGCAGCGUCUUCAGCUCGUUCUCGGCUAGGUAGAGGUGUCUGAUGGUGGAGAGCCGGAAGUGAUCCAGGAACGAGAACGUGGAGAACGUGUCUGGGUGCAGCUGGUGAAGCACGUUUCCCUCUAAGUGGAGGAGCCUUAGGGAGGUUAAGCCGCUGAACGCCUGCGGGUGGAUAAACUCGAUCUUGUUGUGGUCCAAGUGUAGCCUCAGUAAGCUCCAGAGCCCCUGCAGGGUCUGUGCGGUGAUCACGCGAAGCUUGUUGUAGCUGAACUUGAAAACCUACCAAGACAGGGAGGGCGGAAGAUGCCAUUUAGAAUUCAAAACAAACGAAAGUGGAAACAACAAAAAAACAACCACCCAAAAAACCCACGACCAGGAACAGAAAGCCCAACAAAGGGCAGCAAAGUCA
rnacentral:lncRNA from 9 species